rnacentral:rRNA from 1 species
CCUACGGGUGGCAGCAGUCGAGAAUCAUUCACAAUGAGGGAAACCCUGAUGGUGCGACGCCGCGUGGGGGAAUGAAGGUCUUCGGAUUGUAAACCCCUGUCAUGUGGGAGCAAAUUAAAAAUAUAGUACCACAAGAGGAAGAGACGGCUAACUCUGUUACCGCAGCCGCGGUAAUACAGAGGUCUCAAGCGUUGUUCGGAAUCACUGGGCGUAAAGCGUGCGUAGGCUGUUUCGUAAGUCGUGUGUGAAAGGCGCGGGCUCAACCCGCGGACGGCACAUGAUACUGCGAGACUAGAGUAAUGGAGGGGGAACCGGAAUUCGCGGUGUAGCAGUGAAAUGCGUAGAUAUCGAGAGGAACACUCGUGGCGAAGGCGGGUUCCUGGACAUUAACUGACGCUGAGGCACGAAAGCGUGGGGAUCGAACAGGAUUAGAUACCCUUGUAGUC